CGACCGGCGCACGGGUGAGUAACACAUAUGCAACCUGGCCGUGACAGAUGGAUAACCGGGAGAAAUCCCGCCUAAUACAACAUAAUGCCGGGAGGGGACAUCCCCUGCCGGUCAAAGGGGGCGACCCCGGUCAUGGAUGGGCAUGCGGCGCAUUAGGUAGUUGGUGGGGCAACGGCCCACCAAGCCGACGAUGCGUAGGGGUUCUGAGAGGAAGGUCCCCCACAUUGGAACUGAGACACGGUCCAAACUCCUACGGAAGGCAGCAG
rnacentral:rRNA from 1 species